GAGCCAUUUUGAAAUCUGGCCUUUGCACGGUAACUCAGCCAUUGGCUUUUCAUGCUUUAUGUGACAUUUAUCUGAUCCCAGAAGCCCCGGUCCCUUUCUUUUCGAAUGAAAGCUGUCUUGGUAGGUCCAUGAGUUUUGAAACUGUUUGUUAGAAAAAGAUUUUCACAAGGAGUAACAAUGACUUUUCCCCUUCACUGGGCCAUAUCUUUUCCGAUUUGCCACUGUUAAUAAAUAUUCUCAUUUCCAAAAUCUGGAUGGAGGGGAGAAAGAGGUAUAAAGAGAUAAUUUUUCGGAAUUCUCCACACUAGUGUGUUCCCUAGACAAAAUAUUGUUUUGUUGUUUAAAAGAGUGAAAAUAAGUGACCCUAACCUUGAAGUGCCUGAAGUGCAGCCAGUGAGAGUUCCUGACAGAAGCCAGUUCUUCAAGAUCCAAGUUAUUUCAUUAUUUUCAAGAAUAGAAUAUCUCAGUCUUUUCUCUGAAACAUUUACUACUGACCACUGUCACUCUCCUCGAAAAAUGAAAUUUUAGAUAGGUGUGUGAUAGCAGAUUUUACCUUCCUGACGAGAAAACAGUGAAGGUAAUGUCACAUGCUUGCCCCUUGGGCAAAACUCUGCUGUGGGAAUAACAUGGUCUAACUCAAUAGGGCUGUCCAAAAAAAGGAGGUAGGGCACAGAGUAUGUAGCCAGUGCUUAUACACCAAGUCUCUAGUUUUUAGUCUUUACCUUCUUGGUACCUGUAAAGAAAAAAGUCUGAGAAUGAGAAGAUGAAAGGCAAAAUCUGUUGGAUGUACACUGAUGUGGCCUACCUGGUAAAGAAACAGUGCAAAUGGGACAAAAACAAUCUACGGCACAAUGCGGGAGUUUAUUUGUAGUUAUCCUCCUAAGGAUAACUAAUGAUUGGAACGCCUUUCAGAAUACAGUAGAAGACAUCACCAAAUAAAACCUGAGUGCAGCAGUCCUUUGAAAGAAGGGACUGAUGACAACAGAAGUCUCUGGCAAUGUUUGAGAUGAUUUUUGUCAGGACAGCUGGUUUCUCCUCUCAUUAGUCUUUUGGAGAGGCACCCUCUAUUAAAAUGGCACAUGAUACCCCUUUUCCUCCCCUUCUCUCCCCCUUCUCUAGCCACCUCGCUAGUAUUACAUUGUUUGCCCCAUAUUCUAAAUAGUGUUUACUUUAAACCUUCUUUGAUUCAGUUACUUCACCUUGGCAUCCCAUCAGCUGGCAAACACAAGUAAUGAAGUGAAGGGAACAUAGUUAAGUUGAUAUCUUAAAUGCACACAAAUCCCAUAUGCUGUGGCAACAACAAAAUGAAUAACAAACACACUGCAUGAAAAUCCUCUUAAGUUCCUUUUUUUUUUCAAUUCCAGCCUUGCAUUCAACAGGAGGAACAUCUUAAAAAAUAAUCCCGUAAUAUUCCUGAACUAACAGCAUUGGCAUGAGGCACAGGAUGGUCUUAUGCUUCUCUGCAUAUCUCAGACAAUCACAGCUGCUGCUAGUAAAUUAAUGGCUGCAAGGGGGUUGGGAGAGGGAGAACGAGGAGAAAAAAGGGAAAUGGAAAGCCUUGUAGGUGGCCUUGUCUCCGCCAAAACUAAAUAUUUUCAUUGGAGCUUUUUCCAUUCAACAAUUGGCAGCUUUAUCCAGAGGCCUUAAACAGACAGAAAAAUUCUUACUGUUUUAAGAGUGACUGCUAAUGGGAUGCAGCACUAUCUGCUAAUGUACAUGAACAAAUAUCUAUUUAAUAAUAGAAUUGUUUUCUCCUAAGGUGCCUUUCUUCUUUCUUUUCUUUUAAAUUCUUGCCUGUGGGUCUGCCCGCUUCCCUUUGCCCUAGAAAUUAAACCUUAGUACUUUCUUUACACAAGAUUUAUGCUAGAAACGUUGGCUGGUAUUUCAUUGUCAGUCAGGGUGUGAUUCUGCUGUGACAUUUCCAGCUAUAUUUUUAUGGCAGCUGCAGUUAAACCAACAUCGAGCAUAAAAACAAACAUUUUUUUUCCCUGCCAGGGUUUGUUUACAUCAGUGAACCAGACUAAAAGGUGAACUACCCAAAGCACUUUUUUUUACAUCUGCCCUAGAGGGCUUUGCUAGGAUGGAUAUAGCUGGACUGCCAGCAGCUCAAACGGGCUGUGCAUAUGCCUGUGCAUGUGUGCGCAGAAGGUAGCUGAAGUGCGGAGUGAACAGCGAAAGAAAAAAGAGGUCUAACAUGCAAUCUGUUAUUCUGGUGUUUGGGUGAAAAACCCCAAAGUGCUGAAUUUUGGAGAAGAAUCAGCAGGGCAUCCUGACACAUUCAAGACCAGCUGACUUACACUGUGUUGGAUUCAGUGGAGGUGGUUGAAGAGGUUGCUGACUUCUGCCUGCCCACCUCACCUCAGCCAGAGCUUAUUGCUGUCAGAAGCAGGCCAUGAUAGAACAACUCACCUGGUUGUUCCUCAGCUGCCCCAGGUAGCAACCUCCUGUGUUAAUUUGAUUCAGAGAAAUUGUUCCCAACAAAUGCUUUAUUUGUAACAGUCCUGUAAAAGAUCUGGUUUUUAUUGUCAAAGCUUCCAGCCUGCUCUGGACUUUUCCAGUUGGAUUGGAAGGGUGGACAGAGCAUGCAGGAAGAAUGCUAUUAAUCUAGAAAGUGAUUUGGUAGCCACAGUCAGUACUUAAUCGGCAUGGACAGUUAUCCUUGGGGCUGUAGUCCUUAGUGCUAAUAAUCAAUGGCCAAUGGCUCUUUUCUUCGCCUACCUCCCGCCUUAAGGAAAGCAGAGCCCACCAAAUCAGUGGUGAGAAGGACAUAGGGGGAAAGCAGAAAAAAACCCAAAGGAGAUGCCAGGCAGGUCCUGUGGUGGUGGGAGGGAGGGAUCCUGGUGAGGCAGAGGGAGAACAGUGGGAAAGGAGGCAUGCAGGGCCCCAGGAUGCAGGAGACUAGGAAGACCCUGAGCAAGAAUGGUAUGGGAACCUGCAAUCAGUGGGAGUCCCUCAUUUACUCACUGAAACGUACUUUCCCUCCUUCUCAGAAGAGGCUCAGAAGUGGUGCUAGCAGUUCAGAACUGUCCAGCUGCCAUGCCUUUUCCACUGGAAACUUUUCCCAGUUUCCUGGGACCGUCCUCUGUCUCCCUUUUCCCUCUCUGGCACAUAGUCUUUGCAUUGUUAAAUAUUGAUGCAUUGUCAUUCCGCAAGGUUCUCUGCCACUUUAAUUUCUUUGGCCUUAUGUGUUGUUUUCUCUUCAGUGCUUGCUUUCAACCUCUUGGGACCCAGGGGGAGAGAGGAGUGGGGGGAGACGGAUGUAAAUUAACUAUCAUCUACUGUAAAUCAGUGUAAUUCCACUGACUACAAUGAAGCUGCACUGAAUUACUGUAGCUGAAAACCUGCUUUGUCAUGUCUCCCUCUUCUGUGUAUUUUAUAUUGCCUGUUGUGGAAAAAAAAACCCAGCAGAAAAGCACUCCACCAAAACUCGAGUUCUUUCUGUUUUGCUCUCCUAAGAGGUGCAGCUGUAUGCUAAUAGUCUACUUCUCUAGCGGGAAAUAGAAAGGGCUAUAGCAUGCUUUGAUAAACCGGGAAGCAGACUCUGACGCUAGUGUGCAAGGAGAGAAACAUACGGAGCUUUUUUCCCCCUCUUCUCUCCCUCACAUCAAUUUCACACUCUUUUAGUUCUGUUGACCUCCAUGGAGUCCCUCCUAAUUUACAGCGCCAUAAACAAAAUCGGAACGAUGCCCUCUGAAAUGUGCAGAAUUGUUUUCGGCUUGCACUGAAGAACACGGCGUAUUCCAGGGAUUUGCAAAGGCAUCUCUCUACUUGUGCUGAGGAAGAUUUUUUCCUGGCCACCUCACCUGCCUGUGGUGACUUCCCUUGAAGAGGGCUCUCUGAGCAGGACACCUCUCUCACCGGAGGCACCCUGCCAGGAAAGCUCCAGGUGAAACUGAUACCAUCUUGGGACAGUGGUGAUCCCUAAAUAAAGGGAUCACACUAGUAAUCCUAACAAACGCAUUUACCACUUGAGUGGUUAGAUUGUGAAAGGGUGGUAAUUAAAAAAGGAAAUGUUUCGCACGUGAAGUUUUCCUUUGUGAGAGUGACACCGAGACUGCUGCUGAUGUUACGGGGUACUUCACUCCGACAGCUGAGAAACAGGCUGCGUGCACUUUGACAGCCAGUUGACAGCAGCAUAAGAGUGGCUGUGCGGUCUGCCCAAGGAGAGGACUGAUCCGGUUGAAAAGUCAUCACCAUUCUUUUGGUAGAAGUAGUGUUGGGCUGGAUUACCUCCUUGCUCCAGGUGACCUUUCUGCCACACGUGCUAGCGGAAGGGAGGCAACACAGACACUGGGCUAAGGGCAGGACCCUCCACCUCUUUUGGUGGCUGUCUGCAUUGUAGGUCAGCUUAGUCUAAGAGCCAAAACACGCUGUGAGGAGAAAGAGGUCAAAGAUUCGACAAAAUUUGGUCAAUGCUUUUACUGAAGGCUGAAGAACCUGACAGCAUGAUGCUUCUUAGACCACUGAAAGUCCUGCUGGCAUGGCAGUGGGUUGGACCAUCCUGACAUUUGGGUAAAAAAAGAGCCAACCCACAAGAAAAGGAAAGGCUCUUUCAUGUAUCUAUCCCGCAGCAAAAAUGGGCAAGAAAAUCCAUUUCUCUCCUGUAAGUAUAUCUCUAUAUAUUUGCUUCAAAAUUCAAAUUCUCAUCCAAAAGCUCAUCAUAGGGUGGUGCUGGUUGGGAGUCCUCCUGCCUUCUGCCCAAGACCUCCAUGUUGCACUUGAAGAGCAGUCUGAUUUUCCAACUCAUCUGUGCUCAGCCUGCUCCCCGGCCCUGCAUGGUGAACCGCAGUUCAGGUCUGCCGGGUUGGAGCCAGCGGGAUGCAUCCGCCACACCUGCCUCACAGCAGCAGUGGUGCAUCUGGAUGAAAGAUGAGUUUCGGAUUUCACAGGCGUUCUUGGGCCCAAGAUAAAGUGGCACAGCCAUCCAUCAUAUGGAUGAGUGCAGACUGAGCAAAGAAAGACCUGGACCAAAACAGUUUUCUAGGUGUUUAGUGAGGAGGUAAAAGUCGUUCCCUCCCCGUAGGGCAGAGGAGCUCAUGGAUGCGAUUACCAGUGGUGGGUGUGUGGCAGCAUGUAAGCCCAGUCUGGGCAGGCUGGCAUGCUGCAGUGUGGAAGAGGAUCAACCUGCUAGCGAGCCUGCAGGUUGCAUCCCAGGAUGUGCAAGUGGCCAGUGAGGUGCCUGGUGGAGCAGUCACCCAUGUACCUACAUGAUGUGAAAGAGGUAUCACUUUGUUUUGUGUGUGCACACCUCCAUCUGGAAAUAGAAGCCAAGAGGAAAAAAAAAAGGAAGAAAUAAAGUGUUAGGAGGUUUCUGGUUAGUCUGGCCCAGCACUGAAUUUAAAAGCAUGGUGAAAUAUUCAUUAUUUGUGGGCAGUAAUAGUUAUAUCAUGCAUUAACAGGGAAGAGAGGAAAAAAGAUACUCUUGGACACUGUUGAAAACAGGCUGACAUCCCUAUGAUAUUGUCUGUGGGUCUUGCAUCUCCCAGGUGCUGUUGGUCCACUGCAAUGAUUCCCAUGGAGCUGGAUUCCCUUUGGAGCCAGGCCAAUUCAUACCAAGUUCUUCUUACCGCUCCUGUAACUUGCAGAUCUAAGGCUUCAUUUAUAGUGAACCCGCCACAUGAAAGGCAGCGCGUCAGUGGUGGUGGUUGUUCUUUUGGCUCCGAUGACGGAGAUUGCUUUGCUACUGGGGAAGUUCAAGGGCAGUUGCUCACACUUGCUUGCACGGCCUGGGCUGACCCAGGGCAGACCCACUUCACAUCUCUGAAGCUAUGGCAGAUGCUCCUUGCUCUGGAGUUCAUUCGUGCUUUGCAAAAAGGCC